rnacentral:piRNA from 1 species
UGGAAUCAAGGCUCAGUCGUACA